GGAUUGUAGGCUGCAACCCGCCUGCAUGAAGUUGGAAUUGCUAGUAAUCGCGGAUCAGCAUGCCGCGGUGAAUACGUUCCCAGGGAUUGUACACACCGCCCGUCACACCAUGAGAGUCGGGAACACCCAAAGUCCGUAGUCUAACCGCAAGGAGGGCGCGGCCUAAGGUGGGUUCGAUAAUUGGGGUGAAGUCGUAACAAGGUACC
rnacentral:rRNA from 1 species